AUCGAUGAAGAACGCAGCGAAAUGCGAUAAGUAAUGUGAAUUGCAGAAUUCAGUGAAUCAUCGAAUCUUUGAACGCACAUUGCGCCUGAUAGUAUUCUGUCAGGCAUGCCUGUUCGAGCGUCAUUUCAACCCCCAAGCCCUAUUUGCUUGACGUUGGGAGUUUACGGAGACGUAAUUCCUCAAAUAUAGUGGCGGAGCUAGGUCGUGCUCUAAGCGUAGUAACCACAAUUCUCGCUUCUGCAGCCGGCUUAGGUCCUGCCGUAAAACCCCUAUAUUUUUUUAUUGGUUGACCUCGGAUCAGGUAGGAAUACCCGCUGAACUUAAGCAUAUCAAUAAGCGGAGGAAAAGAAACCAACAGGGAUUGCCCUAGUAACGGCGAGUGAAGCGGCAACAGCUCAAAUUUGAAAUCUGGCCCUCGGGUCCGAGUUGUAAUUUGCAGAGGAUGCUUUUGGCGCGGUGCCUUCCGAGUUCCCUGGAACGGGACGCCUUAGAGGGUGAGAGCCCCGUACGGUUGGACACCAAGCCUCUGUAAAGCUCCUUCGACGAGUCGAGUAGUUUGGGAAUGCUGCUCUAAAUGGGAGGUAAAUUUCUUCUAAAGCUAAAUACCGGCCAGAGACCGAUAGCGCACAAGUAGAGUGAUCGAAAGAUGAAAAGCACUUUGAAAAGAGGGUUAAAUAGCACGUGAAAUUGUUGAAAGGGAAGCGUUUACGGCCAGACCUUUUCCUGGCGGAUCAUCUGGUGUUCUCACCAGUGCACUCCGCCAGGUUUAGGCCAGCAUCGGCUCCCGUAGGGGGAUAAAAGCAGUGGGAAAGUAGCUCCGUCGGGAGUGUUAUAGCCCGCUGCACAAUACCCUUACAGGGGCCGAGGACCGC
rnacentral:misc_RNA from 1 species